CGGCGGCUACACUGGGAGACUGUGCGCAUCUGUGCAGGAUGCUCGGCACUAGAGGGGGUUAGCUGACAAGACAAAGAUACUGAGACUGGUGAUGACGGAUGAAUGAUGAUGAUGAAGAGGGCAAACUGUUGAGAAGAGGUCCUCUACUGCCGCCACCCCCCCCCCUGCAAUGAUUUGGUUUCCUUUGCUGUAAUAGUGGUCAAUGAGCUGUGACUGUAGAGUAUAGGGGGCCUAACUGUGAGCUAUGAUUCCGCCUGUCCAAAGAGAACAAGCUCCGUCCAUCUGUACUCAUCACAAGCAAAGAGCUGGAACGAGACCACAUCAGCACAACUGACAGAGACAAUGAGACUUUAUAACGCUAAUGGGUUCACUAAUGUUCUGCUCACAAUGAAGUGCCAGCCACGCACAGAGCUAGCCCACGGACUCGGGACUGAAUCCAAACUGAUUCUUUUAAAAAAACGAGGAGGCUGAGAGGGAAAAUGCAACACAAAGUAUAUUAAACACCAGUCCUUGCAAUGCACCACAUUUGUCCAGUUUUGUUGUUAGUGUGUUGUACGCGGGUGCGUAUGCUUCCAUUAACUGGCCAAAAAUGACAGAAUGACAUAAAAAUUAAAGCAGCAUAUCUCCCA